GCUGAUAUAGCUCAGUUGGGAGAGGAUUAGACUAAAACUCUACAGGUCCCUGGUUCGAUUCCAGGUUUUGGCA